rnacentral:rRNA from 1 species
GGGGAAUAUUGCACAAUGGGGGAAACCCUGAUGCAGCGACGCCGCGUGAGUGAAGAAGUAUCUCGGUAUGUAAAGCUCUAUCAGCAGGGAAGAAAAUGACGGUACCUGACUAAGAAGCCCCGGCUAACUACGUGCCAGCAGCCGCGGUAAUACGUAGGGGGCAAGCGUUAUCCGGAAUUACUGGGUGUAAAGGGUGCGUAGGUGGUAUGGCAAGUCAGAAGUGAAAACCCAGGGCUUAACUCUGGGACUGCUUCUGAAACUGUCAGACUGGAGUGCAGGAGAGGUAAGCGGAAUUCCUAGUGUAGCGGUGAAAUGCGUAGAUAUUAGGAGGAACAUCAGUGGCGAAGGCGGCUUACCGGACUGAAACUGACACUGAGGCACGAAAGCGUGGGGAGCAAAC